UACGUAGGGUGCGAGCGUUGUCCGGAAUUAUUGGGCGUAAAGAGCUUGUAGGCGGUCUGUCGCGUCUGCUGUGAAAAUCCGGGGCUCAACCCCGGACUUGCAGUGGGUACGGGCAGACUAGAGUGUGGUAGGGGAGACUGGAAUUCCUGGUGUAGCGGUGAAAUGCGCAGAUAUCAGGAGGAACACCGAUGGCGAAGGCAGGUCUCUGGGCCACUACUGACGCUGAGACUCGAAAGCGUGGGGAGCAAACAGG
rnacentral:rRNA from 1 species